rnacentral:rRNA from 1 species
GACGAACGCUGGCGGCGGGCUUAACACAUGCGAGUCGAACGGAAAGGCCCUGCUAUUUUGCGCUGCCGGAGUGGCGGACGGGUGAGUAACACGUGAGUAACCUGCCCUUCAUUUUGGUAUAACUUCAGGAAAGUGGGGCUAAUCCCGGAUAGGAGCCACCCCUCCAUGGUGGGCGUUGGAUCGUUUCGGCGGUUGCGGUUGGAUGAGCGGCUUAUGGGCUUGUUGGUGGGGGAGUGGCUUACCAAGGCUGUGACGGGUAGCCGGCCUGAGAGGGUGAACGGCGACAUUGGGACUGAGAGACGGCGCAGACUCCAACGGGAGGCAGCGGGGGGGAAUAUUGCACAAUGGGCGGAAGCCUGAUGAGGCAACGCCGCGUGCGGGAUGACGGCCUGCGGGGUGUAAACCGCUUUCGCCUGUGACGAAGCGUGAGUGACGGUAAUGGGUAAAGAAGCACCGGCUAACUUCGUG